rnacentral:sRNA from 1 species
ACUGAGGAGUACACGUGACUCUCGGGGGCGGGAAUUACAUUCAGUGGUUGGUACUCCAUAUCGGCAGGUAUCGUCAUAUAGUGAGAUUCCUCGUUACCGCUGCCUUUUGACCCCUCAGUCAGUUGUUCUUUGCUAGAAAACCAGGAUGCAUAAUCAUUCUCGUUUUCUUUGACACUUGGAGGGUUGUCUCUCGCUUUUCUGUGACGUCGAUUUCUGCGAAAAUGAACGGAACAGCACGCAUAUUAUGACCAGUAAGACUAGGAAUGAGAGCACCAGUGCAGCCCCAAUGGACAGAAUAUGGACGGCACUCAGCCCAAGACCAAACACGGAGAUCUCUGCAAAAACAUGAAACACCAUUCUCGUGAAAAAUAAAGAAAGAAAAAUG